GGCUAGAGUUUGAUCAUGGCUCAGGACGAACGCUGGCGGCGCGCCUAACACAUGCAAGUCGAACGGAAUGCGGAGAGGAUUUAUCUUUUCUGUGUUUAGUGGCGAACGGGUGAGUAACGCGUGAGGAACCUGCCUCAAAGAGGGGGACAACAGUUGGAAACGACUGCUAAUACCGCAUAAGCCCACGGGGCCGCAUGGCCCUGAGGGAAAAGGAGCAAUCCGCUUUGAGAUGGCCUCGCGUCCGAUUAGCUGGUUGGUGAGGUAACGGCCCACCAAGGCGACGAUCGGUAGCCGGACUGAGAGGUUGAACGGCCACAUUGGGACUGAGACACGGCCCAGACUCCUACGGGAGGCAGCAGUGGGGAAUAUUGCACAAUGGGGGAAACCCUGAUGCAGCGACGCCGCGUGGAGGAAGAAGGUCUUCGGAUUGUAAACUCCUGUUGUUGGGGAAAAGAAGGAUGGUACCCAACAAGGAAGUGACGGCUAACUACGUGCCAGCAGCCGCGGUAAAACGUAGGUCACGAGCGUUGUCCGGAAUUACUGGGUGUAAAGGGAGCGCAGGCGGGUAUGCAAGUUGGGAGUGAAAUGCAUGGGCUCAACCCAUGAACUGCUCUCAAAACUGUGUAUCUUGAGUAGUGCAGAGGUAGGCGGAAUUCCCGGUGUAGCGGUGGAAUGCGUAGAUAUCGGGAGGAACACCAGUGGCGAAGGCGGCCUACUGGGCACCAACUGACGCUGAGGCUCGAAAGUGUGGGUAGCAAACAGGAUUAGAUACCCUGGUAGUCCACACCGUAAACGAUGAUUACUAGGUGUUGGAGGAUAGACCCCUUCAGUGCCGCAGUUAACACAAUAAGUAAUCCACCUGGGGAGUACGACCGCA
rnacentral:rRNA from 1 species